rnacentral:lncRNA from 1 species
GGGUGUAGAGUGUUAGCUCAGAAAGGUAGAGAUUCGCGUGAGUAGGCCGCAAAUGCAAGCACCAAUAGUGGUCAGUGUCAGAAUCGACUCUAUUCACUCCAGACGUACCAUGAUCCUGAAAGUUUCCCCAACCUAGAUUCGGGUACGUUACAAGUUUUUCAUGAUCAUUGUAUGCAUUGUUAGAUAUCUUACUCUCGUUUGAGCUUAUGUUUCCACAUGAGUUAGUCAGUAACAUUAGCAGGUCUAGUUCAGUUAAUGCAUCACACAUUAGUCUCAACACUCUAAUGUUUAGUUAUAAUCUAGUUCGUAGAUGCCUGGUGCAUCACCCAUUAUCUCAGCAAGGUAAACAUUCCUAGAGGGACAUAGUGUACCAAGGUGGAGAUACCCCACCUUUUCUUGAUGCUUUUAUGUUCCCAUUAUAAAUUAGUUAUCAAGUGCCAUGGCAUAAUCAGUCAAACUUUCAAGAGUCAGCUCAGUCAUAUAUUAAGGCAUUAGAUAUAUGUGUU